GUACCACGGAUAUUUUCACGGAUAGAAUUUGCGAGGCAUUUAAGUUUAUGGCUGCUCCAUCUAAAACCAGUUGUUCAGAAAAAGAAAUCACAACGAUGAUUGUAUAGGAAAUAUGCAUGUUCGUAAAGAUAUUUUAACAGAUAUAUCAUAUAGACGUAAACUUAAAAAAUGUGGUGUACCUAACCUUGAAGUUUCUAUAAGAAAACAAUUAACACGUAUUCGGGUGGUACAUAUUAAAUAUCUUUCCAAAUCAAAUUUUAAUAGCAGAUAGUACUAAAGUAAUUAAGAUAAUUGAUAAUUGACGACAAGACAAUAUUUAGUUUCUGAUAUUUGUCCGCCAAAUUCAAUCAUUUCAUAUACAACCUAAUACAUAUAAUGAAUUAAAUCUACCAAUCCACAUACAUAGUAUACGUGUACGUACAUACAGUAUAAUAUAAUAGAGCGAAAAUAUUAAGGUCAGUAUGAAAGGACUUUAUGCAUAAAUGAUUCAUUAUUUUGAACUUGAAAGAAGCCUAACGGGACGGCACAGGGGCAAAGGAAGUACUGUUCCUUAACGCUCACCGUCAGUUACGUCUUGCCAUAUUGUUUUAUGUGACACUUUCGGUCAAUACACGUGUUUAUCUUUACGUUGCUGUUUUGUGCUGAGUCUACAAAGAAAUAACCAAUCAGACCCACAUUCCUUUGCUUGUCAUCUUUUCAGCUCUCUAUUAUACAUUUCUCAGUCAUAAUGCAGCGUUUGAUUUAUGUAAAAGCCAAUGCGAUGGUCCACGGUUCAACUGCUUUUCCAGCAACGGAUCUGAGAGCUUUGGCUUCGAUCCGAGUCAUUGGCGACAGUCGAGUUACGGUACCCGACAUACCGAUGUGUUCCACCGAGCACAAGCUACUCUCUCGCGUACAUGUUCACAUGCAAAGCGAUUUAUAUCCCAUACCACCUUCUUUCCGACCUAUCUAUCUACGUAAGGUAUACACGAACCACGUCGGACGUAUACGAAGCUUCGCUUGUGAAUUAUUCAACGAGCGUCACCUUGAGCGACGACGUGCAAGCGUAGGCUGCCCUCUGCCUCUGUCUUUUCUUUCCCUUUCGUAUAGACCACGUGCGGACAAAUUCGUGAUGUCUUUUACGAUGACUUAGGUAGUGCGACGCGUCGUGAAGAAUAUGAAUUUCCAACUGCGCCAGUCGGCCAUUGUGCCUGGCUUAUGAACGUGCCUUAAGUUUCCUCUAUUACUGUGCCUUCUCUUAUUCGAAGUUCAGAAAACUUUGAUUUGUCGUUGAUCGAAUAUUUAUGUCAAUAUACAGUUGAGGACAAAAAUAAGUGGAGAGAUAGGUGUCAAUGCAGUUUAAUGGAACUAUUGGGAUAUCAUUACCACCUAAUGACAAAAUCCGCAAUCACUUAGUUGCUAACCUAAUAAUAUCAGUUCUAUAUACUUAAGUUUUAUUUACGUAUUUCUUUUAGUAUAUAGAUUAUUUAACAAAUAACUGAAGUUAAUAUUUACAUUCUUGUGUAAACAAAUCGUAUUUAACAAAACUUCAUUGAUACCUGCUUUCGCUACGUGUCUGCUUAUUUUUGUAUCCGACUGUAUAUAGACGGGAAAUAAGAGUUUCAUACGAAGAGCGACAGUAGAAUAAAAAUGUCGCUGAUUGGUUGAUUACUGACGCCUCAAGCGACGUCAAUCGCACAAGGAUGAUCAUUUUUGGUCGUCCAGGAAUCACGGAACUCUUCUCAAGUAGUUUAUGAAGCAUUAUAAUCCUGAAUGAAUCAUAAUCGCGUCUUCACAAUUAUAAAGUUUAUUGAGUGCUCUAAUUGCAGCAAUAUCGUCAAUGACUCAUUGGUGGUGAAGGGCUAUAAUCAGUUAAAUAACAGGCAAUCAGAUUGAUCAAAUACGUGCAAAUUCCUCCCAAUCACGGCACGUGAACAAUCAAGACCGUAACCAGGCCAAUUGAAAGAUGGAUGCAGAAAGUUUCCAUAUUGGAGAAAGUUCAUGUAAUAUGAAUUAUAAUAAAGUAUGGCUUUUGCUGCGCGGUCACGGAUAGUACGAGAUAUUAAGCGCCAUAAAUCCAUACAUGCAGAAAUUACCGACUGGUCUCGCGGCAACAGUUUUUACCGCUGGUUAAUAAAAUUCAAUUAUUAUCGGGGUAAAAGUUGUUUUAAAGCGCAACGAACGAAGAGCUGAUUAUAUAGGAAAUAUUGUUGCUAUUAUAAUCUUUUUCUCCUUGCUAUAUAUAAUUAACCAAGUUAAGUUAUAAUAAUUUUU
rnacentral:lncRNA from 1 species